GUGCUCACUUUAGCAGCACUUACACUAAAACUGGAAUGAUACAGAGAUUAACGUGGCCCCUGUGCAAAGAUAACACAGAAAUUCGUGAAGUAUUCCAUAUAUUU
rnacentral:snRNA from 1 species